AAAGAAAAAAGUCCAUUCGAAUGCUGAUUUGAUUAUACUGCCUUUAACUUUUCGGUACAUCUUUUAACACACGUAAAAAGCGAAAGAUAACAAAUUGAUAAUAUUAAAAAAAAAAAAAAAAGCUAGUAGUAAUAAUUCAGCUCAAUUUUUUGCAACAUGCUUUCCUAACGGGAGACACUGUUUCAUGUUUCAUCUUCCUUUUAUAUUUGUUUUUUACAAAAAUUAAAAUCUAUUAAAAUGGACCACAAGGUGUAGUUUUCAAUAUACGAGUUCGAUCGCUGUUGGAUCAUAAUUAAGAAGUUUGAAUUGUCAAUGUAUAUCACUAUCCAAUGGAAAUUAAAUAAAAUAGUCUUUAGAAUAAUUAUUGUAGUCUCAUCAGGUAAGUUGAUUCCUUCACUUAGCUUUGAAUAACCCCUAGACCCCGAAAACAAGGUAAAAGAGGAAACGAGUCAAGGCCCAUCAAAGCUACCUUAUUGUGAUAUUGUGAACUGUCGAACCAUCGAUCUGAUUUAAGAAGCCUAAAAGGCCCAUGCAAGGUCCACAUAAGAUUGUAGGCUGUGAGUUCUUCGUGAAGAUUCUUGUGAGGGGUUAGAUUGGGGGCAUGCUCUAUCGACACAUCCAUAAGAAAGCCAUUGAUCUAGUUCCUAAGUUCGAUGAGAAGCUAUAAAAACAUAAUGAGUCAUCACAUCUCUUUUCUCACCAAAAAAAAAAAAAAAAAAGCACCAAUGAAUCAUACUAAUCUAACAUUAAGAGAGAAAUUAAAUAGAGGACAAACUAUAACAAAAUCGAUCCUUUUUCAAAUUAAAUAGAGGACAAACUAUAACAAAUAGAGGACAAACAAAAUCGAUACUCUUUCAAAC
rnacentral:lncRNA from 1 species